GACGAACGCUGGCGGCGUGCUUAACACAUGCAAGUCGAACGAAGUGGCGAACGGGUGAGUAACGCGUAAUCAACCUGCCCUUCAGAGGGGGACACCAGUUGGAAACGACUGCUAAUACAGCAUACUGAAGGAGGGGAUUGCGGCUGAUUAGCUAGUCGGAGGGGGAACGGCCCACCAAGGCGAUGAGCAGUAGCCGGUCUUGGAGGGUGAACGGCCACAAGGGGAAUGGAACACGGCCCCGACUCCCUCGGGAGGCAGCAGUGGGGAAUCUUCCGCAAUGGAGGAAAGUCUGACGGAGCAACGCCGCGUGAUUGAUGACGGCCUUCGGGUUGUAAAGCUCUGUUAAUCGGGACGCGGUACCGGAAUAGAAAGCCACGGCUAACUACGUGCCAGCAGCCGCGGUAAUAC
rnacentral:rRNA from 1 species